GACUAACGCUGGCGGCAUGCAUCAUACAUGCAAGUUGAGCGAUCGGCUCUCGGAAGCUUGCUUCUGAGAGUACGGAGCGGCGAACGGGUGAGUAACGCGUAGGUAACCUGCCCCAUAGUCUGGAAUAGCUGGCCGAAAGGUCAAUUAAUGCCGGAUACGACGAGGCUCUGGAAUCUUGGCCUCGGGAAAGAUGCGUUUGCAUCGCUGUGGGAUGGGCUUGCGUCCUAUUAGCUAGUUGGUGGGGUAACGGCCCACCAAGGCUUUGAUGGGUAGCCGGCUUGAGAGAGUGAACGGCCACACUGGAACUGAGACACGGUCCAG
rnacentral:rRNA from 1 species